rnacentral:rRNA from 1 species
UACGUAGGGGGCGAGCGUUAUCCGGAUUUAUUGGGCGUAAAGCGUGUGUAGGCGGUUUAUUAAGUCAGGCGUAAAAGAUCACAGCUCAACUGUGUAGGGCGUUUGAAACUGGUAGACUUGAAUACGGUAGAGGCAGGUGGAAUUCCAUGUGUAGCGGUGGAAUGCGUAGAUAUAUGGAGGAACACCAAUGGCGAAGGCAACCUGCUGGGCCGGAAUUGACGCUGAGACACGAAAGCGUGGGGAGCAAACAGG